rnacentral:rRNA from 1 species
CAGUCGCCACGGGAAAACGGAAGGUCCGGGCGUUAUCCGGAUUUAUUGGGUUUAAAGGGAGCGUAGGCCGUAGAUUAAGCGUGUUGUGAAAUGUAGAUGCUCAACAUCUGACUUGCAGCGCGAACUGGUUUACUUGAGUGUGCACAACGUAGGCGGAAUUCGUCGUGUAGCGGUGAAAUGCUUAGAUAUGACGAAGAACUCCGAUUGCGGAGGCAGCUUACGGGAGCACAACUGACGCUGAAGCUCGAAGGUGCGGGUAUCAAACAGGAUUAGAUACCCCGGUAGUCCCUGUCUCUUAUAC